rnacentral:rRNA from 1 species
AACGAACGCUGGCGGCAGGCCUAACACAUGCAAGUCGAGCGCGCCCUUCGGGGUGAGCGGCGGACGGGUGAGUAACGCGUGGGAACGUGCCCUUUUCUACGGAAUAGCCUCGGGAAACUGAGAGUAAUACCGUAUACGCCCUUUGGGGGAAAGAUUUGUCGGAAAAGGAUCGGCCCGCGUUGGAUUAGGUAGUUGGUGGGGUAAUGGCCUACCAAGCCGACGAUCGGUAGCUGGUUUGAGAGGAUGAUCGGCCACACUGGGACUGAGACACGGCCCAGGCCCGUACCGGAGGGAGGAGGGGGGGAGGGUGCUUAAGGGGAGGGGGCCAGCCGCAGCCACGCCGCGGGGGGGAAGAAGGGCGGCGGUGGGGAAACAGCUGUCGCUUGGGAUGAAAAGUGAGUGACGGUACCGGGAAAAGAAGCCCCGGCUAACUCCGUG